CAUGGUGGGAGGUAAUUGAAUCAUGGGAGUGGUUGCCCUCAAGCUGCUGUUCUCAUUAUAGUGAGCGAGUUCUCUUGAGAUCUGAUGGUUUUAUAAGGGACUCUUCCCUCUUUGCUCGGCACUUCUCCUUGCUGCCAUCAUGUGAAGAAGGAUGUGUUUGCUUCCUUGUCCACCAUGAUUGAUGUAUGGAAAUGCCUACGUAUCCAGGCAGCAGUUUACCACAGGGAUGGAGUCCUCAUGGAGAACCUCAGCUAGGGCAGUGCAAAAGAGAAAGGUGGGGUUGGACCCCCCCACACAGAAUUCCCAUUGGGACACUGCCUAGUGGAGCUGUGAGAAAAGGACCACCAUCCUCCAGACCCCAGAAUGGUAGAUCCACCAACAGCUUGAACUGUUUGCCUGGAAAAGCCACAGACACUCAAUGCCAACCCAUGAAAAUAGCCAGGAGGAGGAAUUUCCCUGCAAAGCCACAGUGGUGGAGCUACCCAAGGUUCUAUGAGCCCACCUUUUGCAUCAGGAUGUCCUGGAUGUGAGACAAUGAGUCAAAGGAGAUUAUUUCAGAGCUUUAAGAUUUAAUUAUUGCAUCUUUGGAUUUUGGACUUGAAAAGGGCCUAUAGCCCCUUUGUUUUGGACAAUUUCUCCCAUUUGGAAUGGCUGUAUUUACCCAAUACCUGUGCCUCCAUUGCAUAUAGGAAGUAACUAACUUGCUUUCAAUUUUACAGGCUCCUAGGUGGAAGAAACUUGCCUUGUCUCAGAUGAGGCUUUGAACUUGGACUUUUGGGUUAAUGCUGAAAUUAGUUAAGAAUUUAGGGGGAAUUUUGGGAAGGCAUGAUUGUGUUUUGAAACGUGAGGACAUGAGAUUUGGGAAGGGUCAGAGGGGGAAUGAUAUGGUUGGCUAUGUCCCUACCCAAAUCUCAUCUUGAAUCAUAGUUCUCCUAAUCUCUACAUGUUGUGGGAGGGACCUGCUUGGAGGUAAUUGAAUCAUAAGCGUGGUUAAACCCAUGCUUCUGUUCUUGUGAUAGUGAGUGACUUCUCAAAAGAUCUGGCAGUUUUACAAGGGGAUUUUCCGUCUUUUGUUUGGCACUUCCUCUUCCUGCCAUCAUGUGAAGGACAUGUUUGCUUCCCCUUCAGCCAUGAUUUUAAGUUUCCUGAGGCCUCCACAGCCAUGUGGAACUGUGAGUCAAUUAAAUCUCUUUCCUUUAUAAAUUACCCAGUCUCAGGCAGUUCUUUACAGCAGCGUGAGAAUGGGCUAAUACAAUUACCAAAUCACACUUUUUUUUAUACUUUAAGUUCUAGGGUACAUGGGCACAACAUGCAGGUUUGUUACAUAAUACAUGUGUGCCAUGUUGGUUUGCUGCACCCAUCAAUUCAUUAUUUACAUUAGGUAUUUCUCCUAACGCAAUCCCUCCCCAGCCCCCGACCCCCAAACAGGCCCCAGUGUGUGAUGUUCCCCUCCCUGUGUCCAUGUGUUCUCAUUGUUCAACUCCCACGUAUGAGUGAGAACAUGCAGUGUUUGGUUUUCUAUCCUUGUGGUAUUUUGAUGAGAAUGAUGGUUUCAAGCUUCAUCCAUGUCCCUGCAAAGGACAUGAACUCAUCUUUUUUUAUGGCUGCAUACUAUUCCACGGUGUAUAUGUGUCAUAUUUUCUAUAUCCGGUCU
rnacentral:lncRNA from 10 species